rnacentral:rRNA from 1 species
AUUGAACGCUGGCGGCAGGCCUAACACAUGCAAGUCGGACGGUAGCACAGAGGAGCUUGCUCCUUGGGUGACGAGUGGCGGACGGGUGAGUAAUGUCUGGGGAUCUGCCCGAUAGAGGGGGAUAACCACUGGAAACGGUGGCUAAUACCGCAUAACGUCGCAAGACCAAAGAGGGGGACCUUCGGGCCUCUCACUAUCGGAUGAACCCAGAUGGGAUUAGCUAGUAGGCGGGGUAAUGGCCCACCUAGGCGACGAUCCCUAGCUGGUCUGAGAGGAUGACCAGCCACACUGGAACUGAGACACGGUCCAGACUCCUACGGGAGGCAGCAGUGGGGAAUAUUGCACAAUGGGCGCAAGCCUGAUGCAGCCAUGCCGCGUGUAUGAAGAAGGCCUUCGGGUUGUAAAGUACUUUCAGCGGGGAGGAAGGCGGUGAGGUUAAUAACCUCGCCGAUUGACGUUACCCGCAGAAGAAGCACCGGCUAACUCCGUGCCAGCCGCCGGUAA